ACAAUAACAUUUGGACCGUCGGUCUACCGAGCAAUAUCACCCGCUCAGUGAAAGAUCUUCCUUCCGUCGUUAUA
rnacentral:pre_miRNA from 1 species